GUAAUAGGCAUGCGUGGUAGUCUGUUGUGUAUUAUGUCAUAUCCUUGUAACC
rnacentral:tRNA from 1 species